rnacentral:rRNA from 1 species
AGAGUUUGAUCCUGGCUCAGGAUGAACGCUAGCUAUAGGCUUAACACAUGCAAGUCGAGGGGAAACGGCAUUAUGUGCUUGCACAUUUUGGACGUCGACCGGCGCACGGGUGAGUAUCGCGUAUCCAACCUGCCCUUUACUUGGGGAUACCCCGUUGAAAGACGGCCUAAUACCCGAUGUUGUUCAUUGAUGGCAUCUGAUUUGAACCAAAGAUUUAUCGGUAAAGGAUGGGGAUGCGUCUGAUUAGCUUGUUGGUGAGGUAAAGGCUCACCAAGGCGACGAUCAGUAGGGGUUCUGAGAGGAAGGUCCCCCACAUUGGAACUGAGACACGGUCCAAACUCCUACGGGAGGCAGCAGUGAGGAAUAUUGGUCAAUGGGCGAGAGCCUGAACCAGCCAAGUAGCGUGCAGGAUGACGGCCCUAUGGGUUGUAAACUGCUUUUGUAUGGGGAUAAAGUUAGGGACGUGUCCCUAUUUGCAGGUACCAUACGAAUAAGGACCGGCUAAUUCCGUGCCAGCAGCCGCGGUAAUACGGAAGGUCCAGGCGUUAUCCGGAUUUAUUGGGUUUAAAGGGAGCGUAGGCUGGAGAUUAAGUGUGUUGUGAAAUGUAGACGCUCAACGUCUGAAUUGCAGCGCAUACUGGUUUCCUUGAGUACGCACAACGUUGGCGGAAUUCGUCGUGUAGCGGUGAAAUGCUUAGAUAUGACGAAGAACUCCGAUUGCGAAGGCAGCUGACGGGAGCGCAACUGACGCUUAAGCUCGAAGGUGCGGGUAUCGAACAGGAUUAGAUACCCUGGUAGUCCGCACAGUAAACGAUGGAUGCCCGCUGUUGGUACCUGGUAUCAGCGGCUAAGCGAAAGCAUUAAGCAUCCCACCUGGGGAGUACGCCGGCAACGGUGAAACUCAAAGGAAUUGACGGGGGCCCG